AUGGCCCCGCCGCGACUUAAGUUCUUUAUGUGGCUCGCUGUCCAUGGCCGCUGCCUGACCGUCGACAACCUCGAGCGUCGAGAAACUUGCAUCCAUCUGUUCGUGCAUUGCAACUUUCGAGAGGUUUGGACGCGCUUCAGAGCCUGGGCGGGAGCUUCUUUCCCGGUCCCUCAUGGCGACGACAAGAGCAUGGAGGACUGGUGGCUGUGCGCACAGAAAGCAGCUCCGAAACAGCUGAGGAGGGACUUUGAUGCGGUGGCGAUCAUGGUUCACUGGUGCAUUUGGAAGGAGUGCAAUGCUCGAAUUUUCGAGGCAUUGCCAUGGACCCAGCUGGAGUGGUGA
rnacentral:rRNA from 1 species